AUAUAGGAUGAGUGGCAUAGAACUGUUCAACCGGGAGUAGUAAAAAGACGAGUAAAAACUUUGUGUUUUUUUAUAUUUGUUAACAAAUAUUGUCAUCAAUUCUCAAAACAAUGUCAUCGAACAAAGUAACCUCACCCUCUCCGGUGACUGAAACUGAUAAGGUUUCUUCCUCCUCUGCUAAGAAGGCAAAGUAUUCCUGGGAAAUGAUUCCCCAAGAGCCACCUAAAAUUGAUGACCUCCCACCGCAGUACAAAGGCCGGACCAUUGUUGUGAGGGAGGUAAGAAAGGAGUGGAGCUCAGUGGGCAAGGUCAUGAACAUGAAUAAAAGAGACAAACAUGAGGAUAAAUCAGACAGUGGCGUGGGAAAAAUAAGGGACACAUUCUACGCUCUUGUUCGUCCAAAAGAAGAAGGGGAUGAAUUUGACUCUCCUGACUUCGCAAAAUGUACUCCAGAGGGUUAUGCCGAGAAGGUGCUGGAGCCAUUAAGUAAAAACGAGAAGGAGGAGGCGAUCAGGCAGAUCAAGGCAUCCAAAGAUGGAAUAAAAGUGGAUGAUACAAAUAAACAUCUGGUUUGGCGAAAAAUUGCUGCCUAUGAGAGACUAGUUUUGGAUGAUCACACAAAUGAUAGUACCGGAGGAAGAGUUAUUUGCAUGUUUGAUGAAUGUUUCAAAUAUCUGGGGACGUCUGGUGCAUCCCCAUUUUGUCACUCCCAUAAGAGCAAGUGGGAAUACGUCGUUUCAGAUUAUGAAGACAAAGGAAGCAGAAUGACAACAUUUUUUCACGUCAUAACCCCUUUACAUACGAAGAUGCGGAAUGGAAGGCUAAACGAGCUAGUAUGGCUAUGAAUAAUAUAAUUACUGCCGGUGGGGAUUUACAGUUUUGGAACAGUUACGUUAAAGAAUUCACAGAUGCAAAGUUACCUCCUCCGACUUGUACUGAAAUUCUUGGUCAAAGACGAUACUUUUCAACAGAAGAAGAGGCCAACAAAGUCUAUGCAGCGAGACAGUUUGUCACACUUUUGAGAAAACUAGUCCCAGCAACAUCAACAUUUCGCUAUUUGAAUAAGAAUGUAGCGUUGCCAAAUGGAGCGGAGAAAGAAGUAUUAGAAGAAAUGAAAAAUUGGGGAAUGCAGCUCGGUAUCUCCAAAUACUUGGGUCGUGAAUUCAGGGCUACCCUCCCUUACCCCUUUGGUAAAGAACGAGAAGGAAAAGACGUGAUUUCUUCAAUGGUGGUGACCAAAGAGCGUGGGGCACUCUACGUGGUGUCUAACCCACACAUUAAUUAUUUCGGGAAGACCCUAAUUGGUAAAAAGCUUCAUUUGGCCACUGGUGAUCAGAAUGACACUGUGACCAAAUACAGUUUGAUGGAACAUCACCUUCCCUGGGAACUGAUUCCCUUGUCCUCUUGUCCUGUGGAUGAUUUGGAGACAAACGAAGCUCAUCUUCACAUCGCGAACUCUUUCGCCGACCUUCUUCAUCUACAUCAACAAUUUGUCUCAGACCCCCCUUACACUUCUCCAGCAGGAUCCACUCCUUAUGACGCCUAUCCUAUCUGCCUUAAUAAAUUCACUAAUGCCAAGUUCUUGGAUGAUACUUCGUUCACCAAAAUCAAUCAGUUUAUGUUAAAGUGUUAUGGAGUUGAGAUCUACAUUGGUCCAACGUAUUAAUUUGUAGCCUAUAUGUACUAUUUUCAGAAUUUGAUUUAAAUGUUACCUAUUACCAGUAAUGACAAGUCGGGGUGAUGCGCCCAGAUAUUCGUAGCCAUAAUUGUACUGAGCAUUAGCCAUUUUAGCUACGACAACCUCCUCCCCAGAAUUCCAGUAGUAGCGGAGUUGCUUCAACCAUUCAAAAUUGGAACUAACCAAUGAAUCAACAUACAAUGUAGAUGUUAAUUUAGUAGGAAGUUUAAUUUCUGUAGAACGAACCUGGUUUCUACUUUUUUCACCACGAGACUUGUGAUAAUGUCUCUUCCGUGGACGUCGAUGGUGAUAAGGGCGCAGAGAACGGCUCUCACCAGUGGAGGCAGCUGACCUCGCACCAUUGCAGCAAGUUUUUUGAGAUUCUGUAGAGUUGAUAGAGAACAAAUGGGUAAUUGAUGAACAAGCAGAUUUAGUGAAUGAAUGGACUUAUGUACCUCAAAAUUCUUCUUUUCGAACUCUCUCAUCCCUAAAAUUGAGUUCCCUGGGCCUAGAAUGUUACGAUUAUUAGUAUUAAUUGUAUUCCUAAGAGUGGUGUGACCAUGUCCGUACCGUCAAGAAUCAUGUGGACGAUUUGUGCCCACAUUAAUUGUGAGAUGGAUAGAACGCACUACACAAAGUGAUCCAAAUUAUUAGUACUGAUCAUUCUGAUUUCCUACAAAUAAUAAUAGAAUGGCUGACCUGUGAUGGAAAACGCUGCACCCAUUCCUCCCUUUCCAUCAAGUGCCAAUCUGUGAGACAAUUCCUCAUGCUUCGUUUUAGGGAGGCAAACAUGGCAUCCUCCACUUUCCCCAGCCAUUCCUGCAACAAUUUGCAAGUAAUACGGAUAAUUGCAAAUCACUUAAUUAACUCUUAAAGUAUGUAUGUACCUCCACGUUUCCUCUCGUUUUGAGCCCCUUGGUUAAAGCUACUCUUUCCUCCUCUGGGGAAAACAUGGCCGUAAUGUCCUUCACCACGGCGGAAGCAGGACCACCAAACGUCAAUCUUUGCACAGCGUCGAAGCAUUUUCUCAAAUGGGGUUCUGUAAAUUAAAGACAGAAGAAUGGUUAUAGAAAAGACCAAGACUCGUUUCACAGUGAGUUCAUGUACACACUUACGCACAGCCGAUGCGUUUCGAGUCUAAUUUCAAGGAGAAAACAGAUGGAAAAUUACUUUAACUCGUAAAUUAUCAUAUAUAUUGUUAAAUACUAGCGAAUCUCACUCACUUGAGCCAAGAUUUCCAACAACUCCUCAUUCGAGAGGAAGUAAAAUCGAGGAAAGAUGACUCGUUUCGACUCCAAAUAGUCAUCAAGGCACUUCAUGAUCUGCUCCAACAAUUUGUUGCUAGAAAUGAACACUUCGAGCAAUCCGGGUGUCGUGGCCGCCUUCAGAGCUAAGGGGUUCUAAAGACGUCCCAAUCGAAACAUGCAUUUGUAAAAUCGUACAUAUUAUUUAAUAUGUACAUAGCAUGCCGAUUUACUCUGUUCGUUUUGGACAUGAUUUCCCUCCACGAUUUAUCCACCUGGGAAAACAUUUUUGCCUCGCUUGGCAGUUGUCGUUGAAUGUCCGGUGCGGAAAAGACGGAUUCCAAAUGAAUCCAAUUCCUUUGGCAGUUCAUCCACUCGUCUAAUGUGUUUGAAAAUAGAUCGAGAAGCUUGACCCAUUCGUCCACCUUCGGUUUGAUUGGGCCGACAUGUCUCGAUGACGAAAUCGUGGUCAUGUGGAUGAGAGAAUCGUCCAACAAAACUUGAAUAUCGUCCGUCCCACCAAGAAUGAAGACGUCUCUUUGAUCCUUAUGUGACAGCACGAUGAAUUCCACGUCCUGCCAGGAAUCCUCCACCUUUUUCAGUAAAGCUUCCAAACUGAACUCACUACUCGCUUGGGCUGACAUUUCCUGAAUAAAUUCCGCAAAAUCCGCAAUCCCCUGAUCCGUGAGCUGUAGAAGAGUCGUGGUUGGGUCCGUCAGCGUUAUCCCCAUCUUGGCCUCCAUCACGUUCCAAUGUCUCUGUCGAAUAUUUGGGUUGUGCAGAUUGGCAAUCCAGGGGAGCUGGAAACGCAUAUUGUCCACUUUGUCCUUGAGAAUGGGGACGACCUCGUUGGGUGGCAGACCUUUCUCCAAUUGCUGGAUACUCUUCACGUAGUCAUUCACUUCUCGCGUCAUGUUCUCUGGAACGAGGGUGGAAAACGGGGUGGCGUCCCACUCCUUCUUUUGAACGUCCCAUCUCGCAAGGGAAUCCCAAAGUUGGUGACGAAUCUUGGUGAAUACGAUGAGUUUGUCGAGUUCCUCAAAAUCUGUGACGUCAACUUUCAACUUUUUCUGAUAGGAUGUAAAUUUUGCCGCUUUUUCUUGAUCGGCCAACAAAAUGUCGCGAACUUGAGUUAAUUUGUGGCUCAGAAUGAUAGGAUCAGAGGUCGGAUUGAGGACUUCGGGGGCCUGGACGACAACUCGGAUUGUGUUCACGCGACCCCAAAUCUCUUCCGUUUCAAUUCGAAACUGUUCCAUUAAUUCGGCCAUGAGUUUCUCCCUGUUGGCGGUUUGUGCAUCGAUAAGUUCACGCAGAGUGAGGAGGGUGGGUUGUAGGGAUUCAAAGCCGGCUAAGUCUUCUGGGGUGGACUCGAUUUUGUAGUCCUCCAUCAGAUCGAAUAACUCGGCAGUAAUGUCCAAGUCUUUUUCGAUUUCUUCCAUCUGCAUGAAAUUUUAGCUAUAAUAUUGGCAUGGCAUGUCAAUAAUGUGCAGUUUAUCACUCACCUCAUCCGAAAUCUCCUCCAUGUACAUUAAAUAUUUUACAUAAUCGUCCGCCAAUUGGGGAUAAGUUUGAAGGUGGUCAAUCGCUUUCUGCAUUCUCGCCGUGGACUCGACCACAUUUUGCGCUCCAACACUUUAAUUAACAACAAUGGACAAAAGCUUAAUUUUUAUAUCAGUAAAGAUCGUCACUCAACUCAAUAAACGGCUUAAUUACACGGGCAUGACUUCGUCAAGAACGUCCAGACAUCGUUGAAUCGUCGGAUUGGCAUGAGCUCGGAGAAUGGAAUUGUUAACGCGGAACACACCCAUCGACUUGAGAUCUUCAACCUUUUCCAGAGUGGCUUUCUGCUCCCAAAACUUUUCCAGCCAAAGUUGAAACUUUUGCACGUCUGAAAUAACAGGAAUAAACGAAUCGAGUUGAAGGCAGCAAUGUACUGGUCCGACAUUUGAAAGCUGUGACGGAGAAUUAGCUCCCCAAUUGUUCCGAGGCCGUCUAAAUCAUAAUCCAGAUCUAAAAAGAGUUUGAAACUUGGCCCUUCUCCGCACGUUUUAGGAUCAACGUAGCCAUUAAUGAUGGGUCUGCGAGAGAGAAUAAGCAGGAAACAAAUUAGAUGCGUACAUACAUACACAAGCUGAGAUUAUUUUUAUGAGUAAUAAAUUUAUGUGCACUCACUGCGUGUACGGGUUGAAUUGUGAAAUGGAGAGCAUAUUGUCGUACGAAAGAACGGCGUCACGCCACGCCCCCAGCACGGUGUACCAGCCUUUGACAUACUCCACGAUUGAGGGAGAGAACACUAGACCUUCGUCGUUCCAAAAGCAACCAAUGUCAAACAUGGGUUCCGCUACCCCCGAGAGAACUGGCGACCCAAACUAUGCAGGAGGAAGAAAUAAGUUGCACAUUAGUUCAGAAAGUUCAAAAUCUUUUUGCUUUGUGAAUUAUAUGUAAAUAAGUUCAACUCACAUGAAGAUCAACGUUGUGCUGCAAUUCUGUGAAAGCCUCCUCGUCUUCAAAAUCUGCGUAAUAUGGUUCCGGAACGAACGGAAGUCUAGCGUGCAUCUCCAAGACGAGUAGAAACAUGGAGUUCUUCAGUAAUUUGUGAUAAGCCCUGUGCCACAGAAUAAUAAUCAAGACGUUCAAUAACUCUUAACAAAAUACGUGUAAUUUUAAUUAUUUGUGUCAAUCACCUCUGAACCAAAUAGUCGACUAGGCGAAUAAAAUCCGUGAUGCGUUUGCACACUUGGCGUUUUUUCUUUUGUUGUGAAAAUGAUAACCAUUGUCCAGGAUAGUCGAGAACUAUGGCCAAAUUCUGGUGGUAAAAGGAUUUAUACAAAUUUAUCCAUGAAUAGCGUCUUCUGAAUUUAUUAAGCCAAAGGUAUGAUUACCUUUCCCAAAUGCUGGACAGGCAUCUCCAACUGUUUCAUAUAAAAUUCCAUCUCUUCUGGAUACUGAUCUGGAGAGAAUCCUUCCUCAAUAAGGGCUGCACGACAAGCAGCACCCGUCAUUUCUAUCACCAUUCCUUCAAACGCUCGAAAUCGUGACCCCACUCCAUCCAAAUGACGAAUCUAAGGAAAUAUCAACCAGUUUCAAUAAAUAUGUAUGUUUCACAAAAUCAAUCUUUAUCUUUAAAAUUUUGUAUGCGUACCUGAGACUGGACAAAUUCUGGAAGAGCGUACGUUUCCCCAUGUUGAAUGUUGAGGAGUGACAUGGUCGUCAACUUUUGACACAUUUUUGCCAACUCUAACAACAUAAUUCGAAGGGGACGCUUCGUGAGGAAGAGAUCGCGAGCAAUAUUGAACUUAAUAUUUCUCAUCUUCUCCUCUCGGACUAUGUAACGCCACAAGUAGAACGCUUUCCAGACGCGAAAGUUGAAGAAAAAUGGAAGCUGUACAAAAAUUACUCACUGAAUAUCCGUGAAUUAAACAUUAUUUAAUUACAUGUCGCCUUCAUACCGAGCGACAUUUGUCGUAACAUCGCAUGUGGGUGUGGAUGUGGAGCAUGGAGAUAAAGUCGGCCAUCCCAUUUGCAAAAUACAAAGCCCCGUAACGACUCACAGUGUAGUGGAUUCUGUUCCCAACUUGACUAUAUUUUACUAUUCUGCAAAAAGCAAUUAGAGACAUUAGGUUUAUGAACUUUAAUAUAAGUUAAUUAAUUAAUAAACGUCUCACUUGAGGUUGUAGGGAUUGUACUCUGGAUGAGAAAAUGGCAAUGAAUAGACGACACAAAUGUAGUCAUUAUUGUAGUGUUUUUCCAUUCGUAACAAAAGCUCCACGAAUUGGGCUCGAGAUAGAGCAACGCCUUCCGGAACUCCCCACAACUUUUGGGUGUCUGAAAUUUAGGGAGUAUUUUUAAUUCAUAAAUCAUAUGCAUAUGCAAAUACAUAAAUUUAUACGUACCGAUCGCACUACGAACAAUUUCUCCUGGAGGGAGGCACUCUUGAUAUGCCAUAGUUCUAUCCAAGCAUUUAGGAUAGCCUGGGAUUCCUCUGUGACCCACGUAGCGUUCUUUUAUGCUCACUGGCUUCUUGGCUUCCUCCUCCAACACUGAACAAACCCAAAAUUAUUGAUGGUGAUUACGAAACAAAGUAAAAUUGUCGAAAUAAUUAAUUACGGCAAAGCUUCUCAUUUAGCGACAUAUCAGAUCCGCCCACCAUCGUUCCUCCCUCUGUGAAAUCGUCUUCAUUAAAAUGCUUCCACUCGGGUUUCUGUUAUAAUUUGCAAUUCAUAAUUUAGAAUAGAUUUAGAAUAAAUUCCUAAUACUCCAACCCACCACGACUGACGGCAUCGCCUCCAACACAGCUUUGUUCUUCUCCAAUUGAUCCGGACAAAUGCUUUCAUCCUGAGGACGACGUAAUCUGGUCGGCAAUUUGGUCGCGCUUCCAGCAUAGCAAGACUGUUGAGAUGAUUUUUCUAGGGUUCGACGUGACGUUGCGCUCACCACUCUGGUCAAAGUGGCCGAAGAUGACCCACGGCAAACGUCAUCUUCAGGUUUCUUUUUCAAUUUUUCGGGUUCCACUCUGAAAAUAAGUGACACCAGUUGGUUAUUUUUUAGUUUACUCCCCGACCUUCUCAACUUUUAGAGUACUUUUGUUUGCAGGGCACUCUUCUCAAAUUGCGUCUGGGUUUCGAAUCCUCAUCGGACGACUCCUGCUCAAAAAUGCCUGGAAAGAGGAUUCGUUUCUUGAGGUAGAGAAUGUCCUCCUCUCUCGGCUUGAGGUUGUGGUGAAGUUGGUCCAGACGGGAUACGCCGGCACGGGAAGAACCUAUCGAUGUCUGCGAGAGUUGGAAAGAUGGUCCCAUUUCCAGCGUAAAAUUUGACUCUGAUGGUGGCAAGAUCUUAUCCCUGGGACCAGAAGAAUAGAUAUUUUGACCACCAGCAGCACCACCACCACCACUUUCGCGAUUACGUGAAGUACGCUUUUUUGGGUGACUUGUUCUAAAAUAAAUCAGAACAUGGUCAAGGAACGGAUAAUCGUCAUGUCAUCACAAUCGUCACCUUUUCGGAGGACGUGAUUCUUCGUCCUCCUCUGCUUCGUCCAACGAAGGUCGGCCGGGUCCGUGAACUAUUCUAUUGUUUACCAUGCUCUUUCGAAGGAGACGCAUAGCUUUAGAAUCAGAAUUUCUGGCAGGUUUGUCCUGCUCGCUCUCAACGUGAUCCAUUAUGAUCACCAAGACUUUUCAGCGUACGAAAAAUAAUAUAUGGAAAUCUUGAGUAGAAUUGGUUAUGCAGGCUGGAAAUAAACGUGAGAAUAUUGACCAAACUGCCGAAAGACGGAACGCUCCGUUGCCGUUAGUUACCAAUAAGAAAUAUUCACAAGAGAACGUAAUGAUGAUUCUGCAGACAUGCAUAAUCUAUAAUUUUUCCAUUAAAAUUAUCACAUUCACAAUGUUCCUAGUUUGGCUUCUUUACUGUACAAAAUAUAAUGAUAGCUACAUGCCAAAAUAAGUUGGUUAUGAAUAUUAUUUUCUUUAGUUUUCUUCAUAAUCCUAAUAAAUCCAUGUUCAAUUUUUUA